ACAAAAAAAAUGCAAAUAGAAUAACAAGAGAUGAGAGAAAUAAAUUAUAAGCCAUAAAAUAAAGUUCCUCAAGAUGCUUGAAAUGACUGAGGUGAAGGAGGAAAGAAGGAAACUGAGUCUGAUUUUCCCCCAGUUACCCUGGUCUCCACUUUCCUGGGAACCUAGAUAUCACAUCUGGUCACUACCUCUGCUCAGCAACAGAAAAUGGAAAGAUAACAUGAGCCAAUGAAAUGAAAAUAAAGAAACAGAAGAUAAGAAAAAAAUGGGGAGGGAUACGGUAAAAAUUAAUCAUUCCUAAACUAAGGACCAAUAAUGAAGGUACUGUACUCCUCUCUCUUGGAUUUCCCUGCAUAGUAAUACAUACUAAGCCAGGAUGUUUGUAUAGUUCAGGCAAAAGGAUGUCCCAUUCAACUGAUGUGCAAGAUCACCUCCAGAGACAAUAGGAUCCAUUAGAAAUGGUGAUGUCACAGGAAGACCCGCCUCAUGGGAGGCAGCUAUGAGGUCUAGCUCCCUGAGCAGCUGCAGGAAGCACCCUUCUUUGCACUGCCCAGGGACUCCCCUCAUGCCCAACUCAGCCAUGGGCACCAUACUCCCCUGCUGGGUGAUCGUCUGGCUCCUGGGGGCAGGUCCCACGAGUGCCAGCAGCGUCAUCCAGAAUCCAAGACGCCUGGUCCUGGGGAGAGGACAGGAGGCAAACCUGAGUUGCAACCCAGUGAAAGGCCACAUUUACAUCUACUGGUAUCGGCAGCUCCUGCAGGAAGGGCUGAAAUUUAUGAUUUACCUCCGGAGAGAAGAAAUCCUGGACGACUCAGGAAUGCCAACAAAACGCUUUUCGGCUGAAUUUCCCAAAGAGGGGCCCAGCCUCUUUAACAUCCAGCUGGCAGAGCUGGGCGACUCCGCAGUGUAUUUCUGUGCUAGCUCCUUGUCCACACCAAUUCAGAGUCACAUCCUCCCAGGGCACAAACUCCUCCAGGCCCCGCCCUGA